rnacentral:rRNA from 1 species
AGUGAACGCUGGCGGCGUGCCUAACACAUGCAAGUCGAACGAUGAAGUCCUUCGGGAUGGAUUAGUGGCGCACGGGUGAGUAUACCAUAGAUAAUGUACCUCUUAGUUCGGGAUAGCCACUGGAAACGGUGAUUAAUACCGGAUACUCCUUCUUGUCUUAAGACGAGUCGGGAAAGUUUUUUCGCUAAGAGAUCAGUCUAUGUCCUAUCAGCUAGUUGGUGAGGUAAUGGCUCACCAAGGCUAUGACGGGUAUCUGGUUUGAGAGGAUGAUCAGACACACUGGAACUGAGACACGGUCCAGACUCCUACGGGAGGCAGCAGUGAGGAAUAUUUCACAAUGGAGGAAACUCUGAUGCAGCAACGCCGCGUGGAGGAUGACGCAUUUCGGUGUGUAAACUCCUUUUAAGAGGGAAGAUAAUGACGGUACCUCUUGAAUAAGCACCGGCUAACUCCGUGCCAGCCGCCGCCGUAACAC